rnacentral:rRNA from 1 species
GACGAACGCUGGCGGCGUGCUUAACACAUGCAAGUCAAGGGGGCCCAGCAAUGGGCAACCGGCGAACGGGUGCGUAACACGUGAGCAACCUAACCGAAACUGUGGGGGAUAGCCGGCCUAACGGCCGAGUAAUACCGCAUACGCUUUCAGUGAGGCAUUUCAUUGAAAGGAAACCUACGGGACAGAUCGAGGGGCUCGCGGCCUAUCAGCUAGUUGGCGAGGUAACGGCUCACCAAGGCAACGACGGGUAGCUGGUCUGAGAGGAUGGCCAGCCACAUUGGGACUGAGAUACGGCCCAGACUCCUACGGGAGGCAGCAGUGGGGAAUCUUGCGCAAUGGCCUAACGGCUGACGCAGCGACGCCGCGUGUGGGAUGAAGCUCUUCGGAGUGUAAAACCACUGUUGCCCGGGACGAACAGCUCGAUUAAUCGAGCCUGACGGUACCCGGGUGAGGAAGCACCGGCUAACUCCGUGCCAAGCCGCCGCAGUAAU